UCCCUGAUGGUCCAGUGGUUAGGACUUGGCACUGCCACUGCAGGGGGCAUGGGUUCAAUCCCUGAUCAGGGAA
rnacentral:tRNA from 1 species